GGGGUUGUGGCUCAGUGGCAGAGCGCUCACCUAGCACAUGUGAGAUGCUGGGUUCGAUCCUCAGCACCUCA
rfam:Ictidomys tridecemlineatus contig034419, whole genome shotgun sequence.